AAAGUCUUUGGGUUCCGGGGGGAGUAUGGUUGCAAAGCUGAAACUUAAAGGAAUUGACGGAAGGGCACCCCCAGGAGUGGAGCCUGGGGCUUAAUUUGACUCCACACGGGAAACCUCCCCCGGGCCGGACACGGACAGGAUUGACAGAUUGAUAGCUCUUUCUCGAUUCCGUGGGUGGUGGUGCAUGGCCGUUCUUAGUUGGUGGAACGAUUUGUCUGGUUAAUUCCGAUAACGAACGAGACUCUGGCAUGCUAACUAGUUACGCGACCCCCGAGCGGUCGGCGUCCCCCAACUUCUUAGAGGGACAAGUGGCGUUCAGCCACCCGAGAUUGAGCAAUAACAGGUCUGUGAUGCCCUUAGAUGUCCGGGGCUGCACGCGCGCUACACUGACUGGCUCAACGUGUGCCUACCCUACGCCGGCAGGCGCGGGUAACCCG
rnacentral:rRNA from 1 species